UCAGACUUGGUGUAAGGGGAACACCGCCUCCUAUACUGGGGAGUGGUAAAUCAAAAUUGAGAGGCAGUCCAGGGUUCGAAUCCCUGUGUCUGAA